rnacentral:rRNA from 1 species
UGAGGAAUAUUGGACAAUGGCCGCAAGGCUGAUCCAGCCAUGCCGCGUGCAGGAUGACGGCCCUAUGGGUUGUAAACUGCUUUUCUACGGGAAUAAACCCCUUUACGUGUAAAGGGCUGAAGGUACCGUAGGAAUAAGCACCGGCUAACUCCGUGCCAGCAGCCGCGGUAAUACGGAGGGUGCAAGCGUUAUCCGGAUUCAUUGGGUUUAAAGGGUGCGCAGGCGGGACUUUAAGUCAGUGGUGAAAGCCCGAGGCUCAACCUCGGAACUGCCAUUGAUACUGAAGUUCUUGAAUGUAGUUGAUGUGGGCGGAAUGUGCCAUGUAGCGGUGAAAUGCUUAGAUAUGGCACAGAACACCGAUCGUGAAGACAGCUCAACAAAACUAUUAUUGACGCUCAGGCACGAAAGCGUGGGGAUCAAACAGGAUUAGAUACCCUGGUAGUCCACGCUAGUAAACGUUGAUCACUCGAC